rnacentral:misc_RNA from 1 species
UCUCCGUUGGUGAACCAGCGGAGGGAUCAUUACUGGAAUCGCAAGAUCCCACAACCCCUGUGAACCUACCGAAACGUUGCCUCGGCGGGCGCCCGGCCCUGCGCCGGCCGCUUAGCCCCCCGGCGGUCCCCUAUCUUUGUCUCUGCAGCGUUGCCUCUCCGCGUCCCAAAAAACAAGUAAAAACUUUCAACAACGGAUCUCUUGGCUCUA